AAACAGAUGGAAAAGGUCACUUUAAAAUAUUACCUAAAUAGGUUUAUCCUAUCCUGCCAGAAGUCCUGGGCUUGAGCAAGACGCUAAACAGCUGCAACCCCUACCUCAGAUGCCCUGUUUCUACAGCCUUCCUGUAGGUAUUAAAAAUAGGCCCAGAUCAAUGCA